rnacentral:rRNA from 1 species
AUUGAACGCUGGCGGCAUGCCUUACACAUGCAAGUCGAACGGUAGAGUAGCAAUACUUGAGAGUGGCGAACGGGUGAGUGAUGCAUCGGAACAUGCCCAGUCGUGGGGGAUAACGUAGCGAAAGUUACGCUAAUACCGCAUACGAUCUAUGGAUGAAAGCGGGGGACUCGCAAGAGCCUCGCGCGAUUGGAGUGGCCGAUGUCAGAUUAGGUAGUUGGUGAGGUAAAGGCUCACCAAGCCGACGAUCUGUAGCUGGUCUGAGAGGACGACCAGCCACACUGGGACUGAGACACGGCCCAGACUCCUACGGGAGGCAGCAGUGGGGAAUUUUGGACAAUGGGCGCAAGCCUGAUCCAGCCAUUCCGCGUGCAGGACGAAGGCCUUCGGGUUGUAAACUGCUUUUGUACGGAACGAAAAGGCUCUGGUUAAUACCUGGGGCUCAUGACGGUACCGUAAGAAUAAGCACCGGCUAACUACGUGCCAGCAGCCGCAGUAA